rnacentral:rRNA from 1 species
CCUUUUGAAUUUAAUUUAAGGUUUAAUCCGCCAACUGAAUAAUUAAAUGGCCGCGGUAUUUUGACCGUGCGAAGGUAGCAUAAUCAUUAGUUUUUUAAUUGGAAGCUGGAAUGAAAAAAUGAAUGAGAAAAUAACUGUCUCAAGUUAAAUUUGUUAGAAAUUUAUUUUUAAGUUAAAAAGCUUAAAUUUUUUUAAAAGACGAGAAGACCCUAUAGAGUUUUAUAAUUUAAUUUAUUUUUAAAAUGUAUUGUUUUUAUUAAUUUAAUUUAUUUUAAUUAUUUUGUUGGGGUGACAGAAAAAUUAAGUUAACUUUUUUUUUAUUUUUAUACUUAUAAGUAAAUUUUUGAUCCAAAAUUUUUGAUUAUAAGAUUAAAUUACCUUAGGGAUAACAGCGUAAUUUUUUUAGAGAGUUCAUAUCGAAAAAAAAGAUUGCGACCUCGAUGUUGGAUUAAAAUUAAGUUUUGGUGUAGAAGCUAAAAUUUUAGGUCUGUUCGACCUUUAAAACUUU